GCCGAUGUAGCUCAGCUGGUAGAGCAAUUGAUUUGUAAUCAAUAGGUCGGGGGUUCGAGUCCCUUCAUCGGCU
rnacentral:tRNA from 1 species